CCUACGGGUGGCAGCAGUGAGGAAUAUUGGUCAAUGGACGAGAGUCUGAACCAGCCAAGUAGCGUGAAGGAUGACUGCCCUAUGGGUUGUAAACUUCUUUUAUAUGGGAAUAAAACGUUCCACGUGUGGGAUUUUGUAUGUACCAUAUGAAUAAGGAUCGGCUAAAUCCGUGCCAGCAGCCGCGGUAAUACGGAGGGUCCGAGCGUUAUCCGGAUUUAUUGGGUUUAAAGGGAGCGUAGGUGGAUUGUUAAGUCAGUUGUGAAAGUUUGCGGCUCAACCGUAAAAUUGCAGUUGAAACUGGCAGUCUUGAGUACAGUAGAGGUAGGCGGAAUUCGUGGUGUAGCGGUGAAAUGCUUAGAUAUCACGAAGAACUCCGAUUGCGAAGGCAGUUCACUGGACUGCAACUGACACUGAGGCUCGAAAGUGUGGGUAUCAAACAGGAUUAGAUACCCGAGUAGUC
rnacentral:rRNA from 1 species